GGUGAUUCUGAUGACCAGACAGAUUCUAGUUGGGUCAGCGGGACACCAGCUCCCUGGGCUGCUGGUCUGUGCAGCCCAAGGGCACCACUGCGGGUGUGGACAGAGAGUGAAGCUCAGCGGUCAGUCUCAGGACCCCAAUCCUCCUGGCAGAGCCCGAGGGAGACCAGUUACUGCUGAAGGUCCCCAGGAUGCAGCCACGUGAAGCGACACUUGUGGAGAGGAGUUCAUUUUCACCGCUCCACAUCCCCCAAGAAAGAAGAAAAAUGAUUAGUGUCUUGGAAGGGAGCAGAGCUUUCCAUCAGCUUCCUGUUGGCUGGUAGGGACACUGAAAUCAUGGGCUGGCAGUUCUCAGGGUGAGGCUCUGCCUGGGUUUACUCCACUGGACCUGGGUGAUGGGACCUUGUCACGGAGAUGAAUGUCAGCCAAACACAGAAUGAACCCCCCAGUGUCUGGGUGUAUGAACACACUCCAGCAGCUGCUCAGAGGAUGCUGGGGAGAUCUAUACAGAAUUCCCAGAAAGUGGUGCCCGACCCCUCCCAGA